rnacentral:rRNA from 1 species
AUGGAUAUGGACUUUGGAGAUGCACGGAAAGAAUCCAUUGAGGACUAUGUUUGUACCCCUAGGGAUAUUACAGUCAUCGAAUCAAUCAAGUCUGCCCCCAAGAAUACCCAGUUCGUGGACAUUGGAGAUGCCUUGUUAUCAACCGACGAUUUGGAAUGCCUUAUGAAAGAUGAUAUGUUCUUACAUAACGGUGUGAUAAAUGCUUACAUAUAUUGCAUGCUUGCUGACGACCAUCUACAAGACAGAGCGGGUGAAAAGUUAUUCAUUCCGAUUAACAUGCCGAGCUACCAUUGGUAUCUAGCAGUCGCCAAUGCCAAAAAACGUGAGAUUCAAGUAUUGGACUCACUUGGUUCUCGGGUCAAACGCAAUGACCUUGCUACUACGUUACUAGGACUCGAGAAGUGUCUGAAACUUGUAGAGCAUAGACCGGAUUUUAUCAGAGGUCAUAAGUGGCCCGAUCUGAAUGUUACAAAAUGGACGGUUGUAGAGCAGUUUCAUGAGGCAAUACAAACCGAUGGCGUAUCAUGUGGAUUGUUUAUGCUAAAUUAUAUGGAAUACUGGACAUCACGUGCACUGUCAGACCAAUUCACCCAGGAGGAUAUGAAACAUUUUCGACAAAAAUUAGCUGUCAUUUUGCUCGAUUCAGAGCUGAAUAAGCUAAAAGGAGGUCCCAUAUACCAUCAACCUGACGAUCAAGAAAAUUUAGCUAAUUCUGAUCUCGAGAUACUGGACAAUCCAUCUGACGUAGUCAAAGACAAACGUCCUGCACCAAUCACUAUCAUACCCACGGACCAACGUGAAUUACUUGCCGGCCUCUGCAACUACAUCAUGUCGAUCGAUGAUGCCGGUUGUUUGGAGAAGGUAUGGGUCCGGAGCUCGACACCCGAUCCAAUGGGCUUAAGUCUUAAGAAACUUCAGUGCAUACUUAACAUAGAGCAGCCCAUGGACAAUGAUUGCUUCAACACAGCCGUGCGUAUGCUGGCAUGUGACGAGGGAGUAUUGUUCACAGACCCUCCUGUGCACUACAUGGAUCUACGGUUUUGUUCCAUGAUGCUAGAGUCAACACGAGGUCAGAAGUUUUGCGAGAAGAAAACUAUCCAGACGUUGGCAACAUUAUUUGAUAGCUGGCCUGGGAUGGACAAUGACAUCUCAUCGUGCAACAAGAAAAAAGCCCACCCUCCCUCGAUCCCCCAUCAUCCCCGAUCCCCCACUUCCCGCACCUCCCAUCCAAAAAAACCACCCCACCCCACCCGCUGCCCCGAUCCCCACCUUGACCUCGCUCGAUCCCCUCCCUCGAGUGCCGCCACCCUCGCUGGAUCUCGCCGCCAUGCACGCCUCCUCCCGCCGGCCAACCUACCCAAGGCGCCGCCGCCCCCCGACCUACCAGCGCGGGGUCGCUGGGCGCCGCCCACGCCACCGGGAACCUGCUGCCGCACUUCCGCCAUGGCCGCACGCUCCUCCGCGGCCCAAUCGUCGCCUCCGCCAGGGAUCCUCGAGCACCAUCAUCCUGGCAUGCAGAUCAUGGCCGCCUCCCCACGCAGUCCCCUUCUUGCUGCCGACGUGAAUCCUGUCAACCCCUUCCUCUUCUCCUUCUCUUCCUCCAGUGAUCUUUGCUGGAUUCUGCCGCCGUCAACACCAGGCAUCGGAACCCCGUCCCUGCACUCCAUCGCCGCGCCCUGUCUUCUUCUCGCUGCGGCUGCUCCACAUCGCGUCCGCCCGCCGUCGCGACGCCCCCAACUCGUCUGCUUUCCCCAACCCCUGCUGGUUGACCUUCUCACAAAGGCCACCUCGACCUUCUCGAGGAAGGUUACUUCCGAGGAUCCGGCUCGCAAGACCUAUCUGCCCAGCAAAAUGCUGCACUUUUGGUGCAAUACGGUCAAGAUGAACUCAACAAUCUCUGAGGCGAUGGCACAACCGGAAAGUAUGAGGAGUGGGACCGUGUGUAUCGCUAUGACUACUACAACGACCUCGGUGAGCCAGACAAGGGCCAUCCGCGCCCGGUUCUCGGCGGCACCCAUGAACUCCCCUAUCCCCGUCGUUGCAGAACUGGCCAACCCCCAUCAAAAACAGACCCUAGAUCGGAGAGCAGAAUUCCUCAGUACAAGAUACAGGAGGCCCUCAACAUCACUGUUCCGCGUGAUGGUAUUUAUGCAUGUUCCUAGUUGCUACGGCAAUGCUGGAUUUAAUCAUCCUAGGAGAGAAGAAGCAAAAAGACAAUCAAAGUGCUUGUCAGGCGUAGGAAGUUAUUUUACCCAAGACAACCCUAGCAGCCCUAGGGUUUGGCGAUCUUUGCCGUUUUGCGCUGGAAAGCGGCCGGUUCUCCUCCACGAAAGCGAGGAAAUCUUUGUUGCUUUGCUCGUAAAGCAAUCGUUCGUCGUCACGAAAGCACGAAGGUUAUCCUGGUGUUGCGCGGCGAUUUCGCGUGCCAACACAAUUGGCGACUCCGCUGGGGACGAGAAGAAGAAGAAGAGGUACACGAUGAGUACCGAGUCCAAGAACGGGAGCGACAUCGACCCGAAGAACGUCAUCGCCAUCACACUCGACGAUCUGUCGGAAGAUGUUCGGCGCGAGCUUGAAGAGGAGCUUGAGAAAGAAAAGGUUGAGAGGUUGAAGCUGAAGUUGGCUAGAUACGCGAAGACGAGGAACAGUGUCGUCAAAAAGGUAGUUCCGAGCCCUUCCGGUGCUCAGCUAGUAAAUAUGGUUCUGAUAUGGAAAAUACGACACGUACAAUUACUCGAGUAG